CCUACGGGUGGCAGCAGUGAGGAAUAUUGGUCAAUGGGCGCGAGCCUGAACCAGCCAAGUCGCGUGAGGGAUGAAGGUUCUAUGGAUCGUAAACCUCUUUUAUAAGGGAAUAAAGUGUGGGACGUGUCCUAUUUUGUAUGUACCUUAUGAAUAAGAAUCGGCUCACUCCGUGCCAGCAGUCGCGGUAAUACGGAGGAUCCGAGCGUUAUCCGGAUUUAUUUGGUUUAAAGGGUGCGUAGGCGGCCUUUUAAGUCAGCGGUGAAAGUCUGUGGCUCAACCAUAGAAUUGCCGUUGAAACUGGGGGGCUUGAGUAUGUUUGAGGCAGGCGGAAUGCGUGGUGUAGCGGUGAAAUGCUUAGAUAUCACGCAGAACCCCGAUUGCGAAGGCAGCCGGCCAAGCCAUGACUGACGCUGAUGCACGAAAGCGUGGGGAUCAAACAGGAUUAGAUACCCCUGUAGUC
rnacentral:rRNA from 1 species